rnacentral:misc_RNA from 1 species
UUCUUCUUCUUCUUCUUCUUUUUUAUUUUUUUUUUCUUUAAUUCACUGUGAUCACCAUUAAAACUAACAAGCAGGCCUUAUAAUGCAGUGCUUAGGGUAUACUGUAUAUUUCCUUAGGAUAUUAAGAGGGGAUCAAGAUCAAACUUCAAUUAUUUAAUUUAGGCCUUGUGCUUGUGCUUAUUCAAGCAAAUCAUUUAGAUGAAAAGGCAAGAUAUAUCACAUAUAUGGGAUACUAAACAAGUUUCUAUUUGGUCAUUGCCAUACUGGUGUGCUAGAACUUGUAUCACAGAAGCUCUAGGAAGAGGGUUGCUUUAGGGUAGAGUCCUGCAUCCUUAAGUGUCAUUCCCAUUUGAUCAACACCAUAGACUCUUCUGGGGAAGCUUGAUAUCAAUCUGUAGUUAACAAUGUCAGGUAGGCCUAAUGAAUCAAUGUAUUUGUAGAUUGACUGGACCUUAUCUCAGCUGAAGAAACAGUGUUCCCUUCUUUCACCAUUUGGAAACCGUAUCAAAAUCUCAAAAUUAAUCAAGCAAUUGAAUCAUAAAGCUUGUUUAACUAAUCAUUGCAGAACGCUUGCAUGAUUAAUGGUAUAGUAAUACCUGUGUAACUUGAGGAUCCUUAGAUUGAGCAGCAGUUUCUUUAAAUUGAGUUUCUCUAAUGGUGGAAGCUUCUCUGCCUUUACCAUAGUACUGUUUCUGUGUUGCAUUGUCCCUAGGCUUCUCGUAAUCUGCUUUAUUAUUUGAGAGGAAAGUGUGAACUGGUCUCUGAGCCUUUUGCUCUGGAUGUAAGUUCUUGGGCUUUUCCUUCUCCUUUUCUAUCUUCAGAGCUGCAAGAUAAGCUGCGUCUUGUUCUUCUCUAACUUGACAAUCUGCUCUUAUCUUCUCUUCUGCCUUGUCCCUCGCUCUAGUCUUCUCCUUUUGGUUUGCUCUUGGAUUGCCAGAGGCAGAUCCUUGCUCCUCUACUGUCCUCUGCAGAAUCUCCUCCAACUCUGCUGGAGAAAUUGGCCCUUCCAUCUAAACAUAAUCAAUUCAAUCCACUCAACAAAGGUAAUUGUAUAUAUACUAGUGAAAAAUAUAUGACGGGGAUGGAUAAACAGUACCAUUUGCAGCACUGCUAAGUUAUUACCAGCAGCCGGAGCCACUACCGCGCAGCACGGAAAGCUCGGAGGUUGCAAGGUUGCAGCCAUCUGCAAACCUUCUCCUUUAUCUGCAAGUGCUCCCCAGCAAACAAAGUUUGCAUCAAGAAACUGUACCACUAAUUCUGAACAUAGAGUCUCCCUACAGAAAGAGGGAGUGAAAGGGUGGUGGGGCGAGUGGAGAUACAAGAACACAAACUUGUGCUCAUUCUCUGCUAUCUUUAAAGCAUCCAUGAAAUGGCAAGCAUAGAAGAAAGGAUGAGUGGAGCCAUAUUGCUGCUCAAAAGUGUCUAGAAAUGUCCACUCUUCUGGUGCAAUUAGGGGUUCUGGUGGAGUUUGCAGUUGAAAGUCUAAUGCUAGAUUAUGAUCUCUUCUUCCUGAUCCUAUUCCUAUUCGACCUAUACUAUGACCCAUUACUCUUGAAAAUCCUCCGAUAAUACUCCGAGGCAGACUCACCAUCCGGCGUACAAUCCCAUUGCAAGAAGCCUCUCUUACAGCUCUUGAACUUUCCCUCGUUGUUGAUGACAUUCCUCUUUAUCUAAAGCUCCAAAUUUGCUGGCUAGAGAUCCUUGUUGGAACUUGAGCUCUUCACAAAUGUUUGGGGCAUUUAGUCUAGACGAAAAGAGAUUAUAUUGUUAUCAGCAAUUCAAUGGGAUAAUCAUAUUCGUAAUUCCUUUCUUCUUUCAUUAAUCUUUAAUUAAAGUAGCUUAAAGAACAUGAUGAAAGAAUGUGAAGAUGCCUCUCUUUUUUUGGGUUAUACAGAGCUCGAAGAUGAUACCUUGCUUGGUUUAUAAUCUACCGUUAGUUCAUGUUAUUUUUGACUCCUCGUGUUAACAAAAGUUCAGAGAUUGAUGAUAGAGACUAUAUACAUAAGGGAUCAAAUUCUUAUUCUUUCCCUUCUAGCUUUUUAUCACGCCAAAGUUAAGAAACUCUCCUUCUAUUGAUAUCUAGACUCCCUUCA